UCAUCGUGUAUGUAUUGAUAAUUCCACAUCAGAAGUAUAUGGAAUUAUGGACCCUGCUAUGUGUAUAUAUGUUGAUACUGUGACGAAAACUCAAGCAGGUGUUAAAAAAUACAUACAAGAUAAGUUAGAGAGGGAAAAUAGAGUGUGUCACUUACUACCACUUAUUCAUGGACGACAUUGGCAAUUAAUUGUCAUGUUUCCGAGAGAAUAUUGUGGUCGUCUUUUGUUCACUUCAUCGGGAAAUUGAUGAAAUCACGAAGAAAAUUGUUACAAAACAAGGAAACAACAUAACUCUAAUGAUUGUGGGUACUAUGUGAUGAGAAAUAUGUUGGAUAUUGUCUCUGUCAAUAUAACCGAGUCUUGGAUGCAGGUAUUUGAUGACCCUACCGAAUUAACACAAGAUGAUUUGUAUGAUUUACGACUCCGUUGGGCAAAAUGUUUCUUUGAGUUAUAUAAAGAUUAAGCUUUAUCUGCAAAUGUGAUUUUGGUGUUGUCUUCAGAAGCUACAACUCAUCUUCUCGUGGAUGCAUGUUGGUAUUUCAAGUGCGGGAAAGGACUUAUAAAUUGUUGUAUAUUUGUUGUUUUGUUAUUGUUUUGGUAGUCCAUCGUGUGUAAACUUUCUUAUAAUUUUGUACACUUAUGUGUAUCCUAGAUUAAUACUUUUGUAAAUCAA